AUUAAGGUGGCAUAACCCGGUAAUUGCAAAAGACCUAAGCCCUUUCCCUCAGAGGUUCGACCCCUCUCCUUAAUU
rnacentral:tRNA from 1 species